rnacentral:lncRNA from 1 species
CGACUACCGAAGGAAGGAAACAAAGACCAUGCUCAGCUCAGAUGGAGACGCUGUUGGGGAUGCCCAUGGCGGUGAGCCCCAGCGCCUUCUCCCCGUUGGCGUCCGACGUGUUGGGGUACAGCAGCAUGUAGGGCAUCUUCACGGGCCCGUUCCGGUUCUUGAGCGCCGGGUCCUUGUUCAUGUCGAGGAUCCGCUUCUCGAUCUCCACCAGCCGGCUGCCGAACCUCUUGAACGCCUCGAGCGCCUUGGCGUCCGACGUCCACUCCGGCGUGUCGCGCUGCCCCAGGUACACCUCGUCGGAGGAG